UACGUAGGGGGCUAGCGUUGUCCGGAAUCAUUGGGCGUAAAGAGCGUGUAGGCGGUCCGGUAAGUCCGCUGUGAAAGUCGGGGGCUCAACCCUCGAAUGCCGGUGGAUACUGUCGGGCUAGAGUGCGGAAGAGGCGAGUGGAAUUCCUGGUGUAGCGGUGAAAUGCGCAGAUAUCAGGAGGAACACCAAUUGCGAAGGCAGCUCGCUGGGACGUUACUGACGCUGAGACGCGAAAGCGUGGGGAGCAAACAGG
rnacentral:rRNA from 1 species